AUAGUUAGUAGCUUCUAAAGCUAUCACAGCUUUCUCUCUGGGAAAGCCCAUUGAAAGUAGUUCUUGUAACAAUUCGUUGUCGUUUUGGAUUGAUUCAUAACUUUGUGGGGGACUUUCAGGUUGGCUAACAUAAUUCAUUGGGGUAGAAGAGUUGGCAUGCGUAAGUGGUGCUGGAGGCAUCGAUGGCGAAAUUGAAGAUCUUACUGGUGGUGGUGGUGGGUGAUGUUUUACAGCAGGAGUGGGAGCAGGAGUAGGAGGAGCCGGUGUAACCUGUGGCUUUAUAGCAGGUGAGUUCACCGCUCCCGUACCCAUUGGAGACAUUGAGUCAGCUAUUAUACUAUCGAUUUUGGCUUGCAGUUUACGUAACUCUUUAACUGCCUGCUUUUUACCCAUGCCCACACUACCAAUUUGGGUGCUUAAUUGCUGGUCUGCUAUUAAGCUUUGAGAAAUCUGUUUUUGAGCUUCUUCUUUUAUUGCAUCCAACUCUUGAAGCUCUUCUCUAAGUAUCAUCAACCUCGUUUUCUUUUGCUCUAUUCUUUGCUUAAUGGUUUUGCCGCUCGUUUGAAUAGUUUCCAAACCAUAUUUGGUUGACUCAAUUUUCUCCUCGAGUUUUCUCAUUUCUUCUUGCUCUUCUUCAGUUGGCUCAUGAGCUGGUUCAUCCGGUUCUUCAAAAGGUGCCUCUGUUGUUUGUUGAUCAUCAAGAGCUGCAGAUGUAGAUCCUGGGAUAGUCGUUGCAAAAGAGGUAGGUAAUGGCACAGACUUUGACUCUUCGAUAGCGCUGAUAUUCUCAGGAGCUAUAUGAAUUGAUGUCUUGAUCUGUUCAAAGCUUCUCUCUUCUUGUUGGGGGGCAUUUUCUGAUACGGCCUCUUCUUCUUUGAUAUCUGUCAGCGAACUGUUGACCCCUCCUGGAAAGCCUGCCAUUUUUAAUGGAAUAGAUUGGGUCGUAGGAGGGAUUCCAAACAUUUGGCCUUGCGUUGAAGAGCCACUUUCAGUAUUUUGACUUAUAUCUGCAGUAUUGGCUUGAUUUUGUGUAGAUACUUGGUCUUGGAAAGAAGUGUUCUGAAAUGCAGAUUGUAAAUCUUCCAAAGAUGAAGAGGGAUUUUCAUGUAAAGACACUGCAGUGGGUUCAAAUGCAGCUGUAUCACUGGAGGCUAAUAGAUUCAAAGUGCUAUUUGGCUCAUUAUCAGCCACCGAUAGUGGAACAUUAGAUACAUUAUCGUUUGUAAAAGCUACCGGUACAGCAGUGCUAGCAUUGGUAUCAUCAGAAACCAGAUUUUGUUGCAUAGUUGGUUCAGUCGGGUUAUCGUCAUAUGCAAGUAUGCUUGCAAGAGAUUUACCUGAGAGUCGUAACUUUAUAAUUUCCAUAGCUACAGCGAAUUCAUCUUUGUCAAUAUAACCUCUAUCUUGAGUGUCGACUGUAUCCCAUAUACGAGCAAGCUCUUCAGAGUCUAAAUGAGAUGCCAUAAAAAAAGGUACCGCUUCACCGCCCACGAUAUAUCCUUUGUUUUCAUUGUCAAUCUUAGAAAAUAAUUGAUAAAAAUUAGACCGAUCUUCGGGAGUAAUUAAGGCUUUUAUAUUAGCUUGAGGAUCAAUUGUUUGUGGGGGUGAUGAGUACUUGUUGUCAACAGCAGAUUGAGCAUUAUUAUCUGCGGAAAUCUCAUCCAAUUUAGAAGACUUGGUAGAGGAUAUGCUUUGUUGAUGAGAGAGUUGCUCAGUAUUCACUAAAGAUGGCUGAGUAACACCUUGUUCAAUAUUUGUAUUCAUUGCUGGGGUUUCACUUUUUGCGGAUUCAAUAACAUCAGCGGGCAAAGAGCGUGGAAGAUGAAUCAAGUUGUAUUGUUUACAUAUUGCAACUAAAUGUCUUGCAAUAACGUAUUGAUACAUUUCAAGGUACCCAACAUGGGCAGAAUCAGCAAGAUUCCAUAUUUGAGCGAGUACGGCGUAAUGAAGUGAAGAUUUUAAAAGAAUAGGUUUUGCAAUUGAACUUGGCAUACAGCCUGGCCUUGCUGAAUCUUCAUGUCCUCGAAGAUUUUCACGAAACUCCUUUUCAUAUUCGGAACGCUCGUCCGGGUUAAUGGGGAUACGGAAAGGGGUAAAAUCAGCCGUUUCUGAAGAUGAACGCUUAAUAUGAUGGUCGUCUUUAGCUUGUUUUGGUAAAAUUGGAGGAUCUCCGGCUGAUUAAUGUUAGAAUAUAGCUAACUAUUAACGCAUUUUCAUACCUUUAUUAUAAUCUAGCUCUUGCAAAGUUGCUCCACGUUGAGCCUGAGAAAUUAAUCGAAAACAAGCAUAAACCUGAUUACGAUCAAGUGAUCCCUUAUCCUCUUGAUCACAAUAAUCCCAUAUCUAAUAAAUUGGCAGUUAGAUAUAUAUUUUUUCUUUUAGAAAGUGCAACGCUUUAAUUUAUAACAUUCCACUCUUAGAUUUAAACUCUAAACUUUAAGAGAUAAAAACUGCUAUCCCAAAGCUUUUGAUUGAGGAAUGAAUUAAACAUACCUUUGCUAAUAUCUUUUGAGGAAGACCAAACUUCAAAAGAAAAGGUCCAAUAACACUUCCUGGGAUUAAAUCUUUCUGUUCUGGGUGGAGAGACUCAAGCAAUCGGUCAAACUCCUGCUGUUCUAUAGGGGAUAACUGCAAAGGCUGCAUAUCCUAUUUAUGAAUAAAAAAAUAAUUGCGGAUAGUUAGAUGUUAACAAUUGUGAACUCUAACUCAAUAAAACGUUUCUGAUUUAAAACAAAUACAAGUCAUGAAAUUAAACCUAUCGGCGAAUGUAACCUUUUAUACAGAGAAAAUAACAAAAAAAAAGCGCCUCUUUAAAGCCAAACGUUUAAAGAAAAAUAAUAUGAAAUUUACGCAAACAGGGCUGGAUCGCGUAGAUAGACUGAAUUUUGGAAAAUUAGAAGCAAAGCGAUAAAGUCGGAUCUCAAAGGAAUAAAAAAUAGUCCGUUGAUUAAAUUUAAAAUACGCUAGUAAUUCUCUAAACUUCGUCUGCGCUUUUCAACAAUAAUCAGUUAAACCGGCGGUUGGUGGAGAGCAGUUAAUACUUGACAAGCAUAUCAUUUACAUCGCACCUCCUUAGUACGAUUUAUUUAACGAUAAGUAACACCGUCCACGUGCUGACCAGCCUAUUUGAAGAAUAACGAUAUCAUAGAGCUUACUGUAGGAUUAAUAAAAAUAUCAUCAAAAUGGGGAAAAAAUUGAAAGAUUAUGAGAAGUAUAUGAUUAUUAAAUAAAAUAAAACUUUUAAGAAUUGAUACUGAGUUUUGAUCUUUAAAUUUAGUGGAGAUACUCAUUAAACAGCCUUAUACCUAAAUGAAAACUGAAAGGUUUACUGCGUUUACCUAGCAUGCUUAGCAAUGAAUUAAAGGAUUGCUCAAUUACCUAGCUUUCUGAAUAUUACGCUAGCUUUCUACUCCCUUGCCAUUGUAAAAUACUUUUCUGGUCAUCCCGCUGCUUUUCAAUGAAACUGCUAUUCAUUGACAGCCUCUCAACAAAAGAUGGGUUUCUCAAAUUAAAUG